rnacentral:lncRNA from 1 species
AGUGAACAGGGCAUGGUGACCCAGAGGCACGUGGCUGAGCCCGUGCCAGUGUGGCCCUGCACCUGGGCCUUGAACUGGAAGUAGCGACGAGCUCUAUAUGCUUGCUGCGCGUGCGCGUCUGCAGAGCUAAUGAAAGCUCAGAUAAUGAGGUAUCAUCUUUGCAGCGAGUGAAGGACCUGGAGGAGGAGACCGGAGAUUUGCGUGACGCGAAGGUGGUAGCGCAGGAGUUAAUUACAACCCAAACCGAAAAGGCUUGGUAAUUAACCCAUAGCGGAGAGCAACUGGUUUUACGAGCGGCUGACAAACACCGCAUGCACUACGGUAAAGCCCCAGCUACUGCUGCCCAGGAAGGAGCAAUGAUAACUAGACCAUCCCGGGAGCCCGAGGAGCGGGAUGGUGAUGUUUGCAGUAGUUCAUCUGGCUCGGAGAUUGAAUUUGGAUUCGAAGGAGAACCAGCUCCUCCUCCGGUCGGAGCUCUUGCGCGAUUCAAGCGGGGAGAAGCAAAGAGAUGGGAAGGCAGUGGAGCCGUCUCGGCCGUAUACCCCCAAGGAGCUGCGUGAAUUUUUAGCUACUUUCCAGCCGCAGCCCGGGGAGUCUUUGUCAGCCUGGUUCGUGAGAGCGUGGGAUGCAGGUGCUGCAUCGCUUCCUCUCUUAAGAGAGGAGCUGAAUUUAAUGAGCGUAGCGGGUGUCUACGAGCUGGGCAAGGGCUCGCCCAAGCCCGUAGAGCUCGAUGUGGGCACGGACGAGGGCGCAGAGGCCGCCACGGGCGUCUACAAGCUCAACAAGGGCUCAUCCAAGGCCAGCGAGCUCGGCAAGGGCCCGCACGAGCCUGCAGAGACCACCACGAGCCCCUACGAACUCGGCCAGCGCCGGACGCGUAUGGACCCGCAUCGCGCUUCACGGGCUCGUAUGGGCUCUUCCCGAGCUCUGUGGGCUUGCUCAGGCCCUUUUCCAGCUUGUGGGAGCUUGUCAGGGUGUGUGGGAGCGUGUCGGGGCGUGUGGGAGGGUGUUGAGGCAUGUGGGAGCAUGUCAGGCCAUGUCAGAGCAUGUGAGGGCAUGUGGGAGUGGGUCGGGGCAUGCUGGAGUGGGUCAGGGCCUGUCGGGCCGUGUUGGGGCAUGUGGGAGCAUGUCAGUGUGUGUGGGAGCGUGUCAGAGCGUGUCGGGGUGCGUGGGAGUGUGUUGGGGCAUGCGGGAGCGUGUCAGGGCAUGUGGGAGUGGGCCAGGGGCGCGUCGGAGCGUAUCGGAGCGUGUCAGGGCCUGUUGGGGCCUGCCAGGGCGCAUGAGAACAUGUCAAGGCGUGUCAGAGCAUGUGGGAGCGUGUCAGAGCCUCUUGGGGCAUGUC